rnacentral:rRNA from 1 species
UACGUAGGGUGCGAGCGUUGUCCGGAAUUAUUGGGCGUAAAGAGCUCGUAGGCGGUUUGUCGCGUCGACUGUGAAAACUGGGGGCUUAACUCUCAGCUUGCAGUUGAUACGGGCAGACUUGAGUUCGGUAGGGGAGACUGGAAUUCCUGGUGUAGCGGUGAAAUGCGCAGAUAUCAGGAGGAACACCGGUGGCGAAGGCGGGUCUCUGGGCCGUAACUGACGCUGAGGAGCGAAAGCUGGGGAGCGAACAGG